rnacentral:misc_RNA from 1 species
GUUUUAACAAAGCUAAAAUUUACUUCAAGUAUAAGUUAAAACGUCAGCUCAAGUACUUAAAUUAGUCACAGAUUCAACAAAGAACCAGCAACAUUUAUAACAGGAGUCAUCAGUGAAAGAGUUCUACUUUAUCAUAAACCUAAUUCUGUCAACCAGUCUCUGAAUUGUGAUGUAAUCAAACCUCAGAUCAAUCUUCCAACUGAGCGAUGACGCUUGCAAAGACCCGGAAACCUUGGCACAUAUCAGACAGUAGACAAUAUUCAUUCUUUGCAUGGUAUGUAGCCAUUAAGCCGUAGCCAGAAGUUUGAACAUCAAAACCCUCGUCCUGUAGAUCUCUUAUCAAUGGCAGAGUACCAGUUAUAGAAUAUGGUUUUACAUGCCCAACUUCCUCUUUGGUAGCUUUGCAUAGUACAUGAAAUCCCCGAGAAUUGAGAUCACAAGCAACUCCAGACGAAGCUUCGUCGAAAGUUAUAGUGAUUCUGCCCCUUAAGUUCUCAUCUGGCAGAACAUAUUUUGAAACAGGACCUCGACCAUCAAGUUUUUCAAUGUUGGCAUUCAAAUCAUCAACAUAUUCUUGUAAUUUCUUCAUAGCAUCUGAUACACUGUAAAAUGGAGUCAACCUAACAU